UUUUUAAGUUUUCAUAGAGUGUUAAAAUUAAAAUCUUUUUUAGAAACUUUUAUAAGAGGUGAAACCAUUGCAAAAGCAAGACUAGUUCUGAGAAUGAAAGUUAAAGGGGGGGUUGAGGGAAGAUAGCAAUAUUAAAAAAGCAUAGAAAUCAUUUAUGACUUUGCAGUUCAUGUAAAACACGGCAUGCUAAACAUUUGUGGUUCUCUUUCCACAGGAAAGAACUUGCACAAGCUUUGACAAUUCCUGAAGUCAAAGUGAAGACAUGGUUCGUCCAUCGGAGAGCAGAAGAGAGGAAGAGUCAGAGGCGUGUCGUAGUACAGAGCACACCUCCUCGUAUUGAAAAGGUCCUUCUCAUUAUCGAUAGGGAUGACUAUCCCUAGAGUGCAAUCUUAGUUCAGGAGCUAGAGGGAAAUCUGGUGACACCUGUACUCAAUGUCCAGCUUCACUAAAAUUCAGCACUCAUGUUAACAAUAAAAUCAUGAAAUUCCAAGUUA